AAAAACACACAACAUAAUAAAAUAACCCUCUAAUAUAUCCGGGUUGUCUCCCUGGCAGUGCUUUCUUUAAAGCCAAUAAGCUAGGCAUAUAGUGCUCAAGUAAUUGAUCCACCCGGAUCCCAAGGUAGAUCAAAGCCAAUUUUAAUUAACCUUAAUUUGUAAUUUAGUAGUGAGCAGAAAUUGAUAUAUAUAUAUCAUGUAGAAACAAAGUCUAACUCUCUUCCUAUGCAUUGGCAUGUCAUAAAAUAACAAUUCAUGCACAUCAAGUAAAGGCCAAUACAUAGCAUAAGUAGUUUCUUGCAAUUUUAU
rnacentral:lncRNA from 1 species